GGACUUUGUAUGAGAUUUUGUGGAGAGGUCCUGGUUAACUUUAAAGAACUCCUUGGGUUAGUUGGCUGAGAAUCAUUGGCUUUGGUUGGCUGCUGAGACUUGUGGGAGGACCAUUUGAAAGCGCCUACUUCUCCAAGACGGAGUCUCAUUCUGUUGCUCCGGCUGGAGUGCAGUGGUGUGAUCUUGGCUCACUGCAACCUCCGCCCCCCGGGUUCAAGCGAUUCUCCUACUUCAGCCUCCCCAGCUGAGAUUACAAGUGCACACCACCACACCUUGCUAAUUUUUGUAUUUUUAGUAGAGAUGGAGUUUUGCCAUGUUGGCCAGGCUGGUCUGGAACUCCUAACCUCAAGUGAUCUGCCCGCCUCCGCCUCCCAAAGUGCUGGGAUUACAGGCAUGAGCCACUGUGCCUGGCCCCCAAAUAUAUCUUUCUUAUGCUCUAUUGAUGUCAGAGGUUCUAAGAUAUCACCAAAUCACCUAUUUGAAUAUUUAAGCUCUAACUUGAUCAUCCUCUGUCCCUUUAGUUAAGAGUUGGGGCUGAAGGCAGCCUGUCUUUUCUUUCCCACUGUGGGAUAUAGGCCAUUUUCAACCUUUUCCUGCUUCAUUACUUGGCUACUGGGGUGACAUUCUUUCAGACUUCCAUGCAUCUCUUUAAAAAGCCCUAACACCUACUUGACAUUAGGCAAUAAAG
rnacentral:lncRNA from 10 species